CAUCUGACUGAAACCGGUCGCCAGUAAGCCGGGACCAGGCCCACGGCACCGCCCUCCUCCGGCGGCCCUGGCCACCCGGCGCCGCCGCCAUCCAGCCAAUCGGCGGGCCCCCUGAGCGGUCAGACACGCCCCUUCUCUUUCCCCGAUUGUGCAAAGCUGACGCACGCUCCCACUACCGCAGGGCCGCCUGUAAAUGCGUUCGUCAUCCUGCCGGCCAAUCAAAGGGAGCGCAGGGCCGCCUAGACGCACCCCUCUCCGCCGGCGGGUCUCCAGUUCCCGCCGCGCGCUCUGGCCCCUUACGUAAGAACCACCGUGACCUCUCACCUCACCUCCCGCGCUGGAACUCUUCCCCGGAUUCGCCAACUGCCGCGGUUCUCUUGGGUGCGGCUUCCGGUCGCGAGGCCUGCCACGUGAUGCCAGCCCAGGGGCGGGAGGAAGCCCGAGGUUCUGGCUGUUGAUUAUGUAACUGUCCAAACCGAAAUAUGCUUUGACCUUUUGCUCACUUCGGAACCCUGAAUACAGACUGAACAGAACCAGAAAGUCUUCAGAGACAGAUCUUCACAUCCUCUCUGUUUUUCAAGCACCUUCAAGAGACAAGAAAACCUAUAAGACAGGAAUCUGAUGCUUAAUCUGAAGGGUGCUCAGGCCAAGAUCUAUUGACUCUUGACCCUUGAACACCUCGGGGGUUAGGGGUGCUGACCCUCAUAGUCUAAACUCCGAGUAUAACUUACAGUCGGCCCUCCCUACACUUGGCUCCUCUAUAUCCAUGCUUCUGCAUCCUCAGGCUCGAGCAACUGUGGAUGUGGUUUGUGUAGCACUGUAGUAUUUACUAUUGAAAAAAACCCAGGGCUUCCCUGGUGG